GGGGAGGUCGCAUAGUUGGUCGAGUGCAGAGGUUUGCUAAACCUCCGAACCAGUACUUGCUGGUUCCGCGGGUUCGAAUCCCGCCCUCCCCGCAA
rnacentral:tRNA from 1 species